rnacentral:misc_RNA from 1 species
UUGUGGAGGAGGACGCCGAAGGUGGGGCUAAUGACUGGGGUGAAGUCGUAACAAGGUAGCCGUACCGGAAGGUGCGGCUGGAUCACCUCCUAACAGGGAGACAACAAAAUGUUUAAUAUUAUUAUUUUGUCACCUUAGGUCGAUCGGUAUCUCACAUUCUUAAUCUAUUAAGGAUUUCUUUUCCUAAGUUUUUCUAGGUCACACCCAUUAUUUUUCCUGGGCCAUUAGCUCAGGUGGUUAGAGCGCACCCCUGAUAAGGGUGAGGUCCCUGGUUCAAGUCCAGGAUGGCCCAUAUCUCUAUGUUGGGGGUAUAGCUCAGUUGGUAGAGCGCCUGCUUUGCAAGCAGGAUGUCAGCGGUUCGAGUCCGCUUACCUCCACUGAUUACCACCUCUUCCAUAACAGUAGAAAGGAAAAGUUUUGAGUUGUGAUCAAAUUCUGAACGAAUCUAGCUUCCUAAUGAAACCAUUAAUACGAAUCAUUAAGAUGCUGGACUCAUUGAAUUAAUUUCAUUGUUUUCAGAGAACCUUGACAACUGCAUAGAUUAUUUUUAAAGACAAUAAGCAUCUUUUAAUGAUGCAGAUUUAUCAUUUGUGCGAAUGCAUUAAUAACAAUUCUAUUAAGCUGAUGCUUCAAUUUUGAAGUUAUUGGUCAAGCUACAA